rnacentral:rRNA from 1 species
UACAGAGACUGCAAGCGUUAUUCGGAUUCACUGGGCGUAAAGGGUGCGCAGGCGGUUUGGUGUGUCCGCUGUGAAAUCCCGAGGCUUAACCUCGGAACUGCGUCUGAAACUACUCGACUAGAGUACUGGAGAGGGUAACGGAAUUCACGGUGUAGCAGUGAAAUGCGUAGAUAUCGUGAGGAACACCAGAGGCGAAGGCGGUUACCUGGACAGUUACUGACGCUCAGGCACGAAAGCAUGGGGAGCAAAAGGG